AGUCGAGGGGCAGCAUUACCUUCGGGUAGAUGGCGACCGGCGCACGGGUGCGUAACGCGUAUGCAACCUACCUAUCACAUAGGGAUAGCCUCUAGAAAUGGAGAUUAAUACCUAAUGGUAUCUAAAUAUUGCAUGAUAUUAAGAUUAAAGAUUUAUCGGUGAUAGAUGGGCAUGCGUGACAUUAGCUAGUUGGUAAGGUAACGGCUUACCAAGGCGACGAUGUCUAGGGGAUCUGAGAGGACUACCCCCCACACUGGUACUGAGACACGGACCAGACUCCUACGGGAGGCAGCAGUGAGGAAUAUUGGUCAAUGGAGGCAACUCUGAACCAGCCAUGCCGCGUGCAGGAUGACUGCCCUAUGGGUUGUAAACUGCUUUUAUAUGAGAAGAAAAUUAACUACGUGUAGUUAACUGACGGUACCAUAAGAAUAAGGACCGGCUAACUCCGUGCCAGCAGCCGCGGUAAUACGGAGGGUCCAAGCGUUAUCCGGAUUUAUUGGGUUUAAAGGGUCCGUAGGCGGGCUUAUAAGUCAGAGGUGAAAUCCCAUCGCUCAACGAUGGAACUGCCUUUGAUACUGUAGGUCUUGAAUAUAUUUGAAGUAGGCGGAAUAUGUAGUGUAGCGGUGAAAUGCAUAGAUAUUACAUAGAACACCAAUUGCGAAGGCAGCUUACUAAGAUAUUAUUGACGCUGAUGGACGAAAGCGUGGGUAGCGAACGGGAUUAGAUACCCCGGUAGUCCACGCCGUAAACGAUG
rnacentral:rRNA from 1 species